UCACUCUAGCCUGGGCAACAGAGUGAGACUCUGUCUCAAUAAAAAAAAGAAAAAAGAAAUUUACCUGGAUAUACAAAUAUAGAGAGAUAUAUGCACACAUAUUUGAGUAUAUAUUCACUGCAGCAUUGCUCACAAUGGUGAAAAUUGAAAAUCACUCUCAUGCUCAUCGAGAAGGGAAUGAACAAACAGAUCAAUACUGGUACAUCCAUACAGUCUUAUACUAUGCCACAGUGAAGGAAAGAAUGAGAUAUCUAUGUGAAAACACCAAACGUAUUAAGUGCAAAAAAGCACAGAACUAUAUGUAUAGUAUAACCCCAUGUCUGUAAAUAAAAUUUUGUUUUCUCACAUGUUUUUACAUGUAACUUUAUUACAAGUAAAAGGCCCAGAAGAAUACAUUCCAAACUAUUAAUCAUAAUUCCCUCAGGGCAGGGGAGGAGGGGUUAUAAUGGUGAUUUCAUUUUCUAAGAGAUGUAUUCUGUAAUGUUUAGCUUUUUUUUUCCCCCUGCAACAAGCAUGCAUGCAUUUAGUUAUCGAAAAAGAAGAAGGAUUUAAUGUUUUAAUAAAAUGUAAAAGUUCUAUGAGAAAGAAAAAUCAUGUGGCAGCCCUCGAGGAGCUCAUCCUUUACCGAGGAGGGGUGAUAUGGCAGGUACAGAAAUAAACUAUCAUAAAAGCCAGAAACUGAUACCCGCAGACAGGAGAGUAGAGAUCAAAUCCUCUGCGGAGAUCAGCAACCAGCUGGGGUCGAGAGGUGCAGGAGAAAAUGCGUAAAGGAGAUGGCGCUUCGGAAGGACCUUGAGGAAAGAUUGGUUCGGCCAUGAGGACGAGAGGCUUCUUCAUUUCUGCUUUCACCAGCGGAAGCCCUGGCACUGUGAGCCUGUAACUACCACCCAGUCCGGACAAGAUGGUGGCACGGGGAAGCAGUUUGUACGCUCCGAGAAAUCUUGCUCACAUUAGUAAGCGAUGGGGUUGGAAGGACUUUUGUUAUGAAGUGCCUAGGGCUGAGGAGAGGGAAGGAAAACUGGAACAUAAAUAACCCAGGCCAUGGCUUCAGAAGGGGACCCAGAAUGACUAACUUGCCUGUGCACAUCCACCCUCUGUGAAGACCUCCAGCCAGGCCCCCUUUCCACGGACCCGACCCCCGAGCUCCAGCAGGGCUGUAUUUGGCAGCGUCCUUCAGUUCUUCACAGAUCUUCCUCCAAAAUUCUUCUGUGGGGAGGCUCUGUGUGCGUGAGGGCAGGGGUUAUACAGGAACUCUAUCUCCCACUCGAUUGUGCUGUGAACCCAAAACUGCUCUAAAAUAUAAAGUUUAUUUUAAAAGCAACAAAUUAUUCUAGUGAUCAGUCUAUUGGUAGGACAACUCGAUUAGGUUUUUUUCCCCCAAGUUUCAUGGGCUGCCAUAAAUUGGAAACCACUGAACUUAUGAAAUGAUUUCUGUCUCGGUUAUAAAAGGCUUUUGGUGUCUCAGCAUAAACAUAGAUAUUUCUAAUUGUCCCUCAUCUUGGCCCUGGAGGUUUUUACAACCCAGGGUAAUGCCUUUCUUCCCUUUUUU